UAUAUAUUUAACGUAAUUUAUUUUUAUACGUUCUAAAUAUUUCAACGAUUUAUGAAAUCAAAAAAAUAAUUUUAGAAUUUUAUGUUGAAAAGAAUUUGAAUUGCGAAAACACGUUCGAUUGAAUUUGGAAAACAAUAUUAACUGGUUUUGGAUUCAAACAAACUCAAUUCUAAUCCUAGCCCAAAUUGACAAAGCCCAAAACAAGAAAACCCAUAUUAUCAACCCAUAAUUCAACUUCACGUAAAAUCAAGAAAGCCAAAAACCCUCUUCUCUCCUCUCCUCCAAUUCACGUGAAAAGCAAGCAAACUCUCUCUCUGCUUCAGCCACCGCCGCCCUCCUUGCUGUUGUCCCUCACGCCGCCGGCCAACCACCUCAGACGCUCCUCCUCCGUCGCGUGCAACCUUCCUCGCCGCCACCUGCACCCCGUCGCUGCCGCCAACCAACCAGCACCGGUCGUUGGCCCCUUCCCUUCUCCUUCGCGAAGCAUCAACACUCCUCCUUUUCUUUCUCCUCUGCGUGCGUUUCCUCCUGCUUGCACCACCAGCCACCUUCGGUCACCCUGCUGCGCCACCACCCAUCGCCGCGCUGCCACUGUGGCAUCGCCGUGCUGCUGCACCAACCGCCGUCAGCUCUUCCUCCCUUCACUUUUUGGCGGAGAAUUCUCUUUAGGCGACUUUUGAAAGUGUUAAAGUGGCCUAUUAGUUGUUUAUGCAAGUCUCUAAGGAUCAAUAAGCGUUGCCCAUCUACAGGUUUGAAGAUGAUGCACCAUUGGGAUCGGGAUUAGAGAGCUUGUUGUUCUAUUUGUUUACUUGAGUGAUUUAAUUUGUUAACUUGGAUUUGAAAUUUGUCGUACUAUUCGUAUUUCCUUAUUUCAGUUAAUUGGUUUGGACCUAAUAUGUAAUAGAUUAUUUAUGAACCUAAAAGUUAGUUUUAUGUUUUCCGCUGCAAAAUUCUGAAUAAGCCGUUACGUUUUUACA